AGAAACCCCUAGAAAAAAACACAUCACAAUGGCCGUUAGCUCAAGCAAAACUAUAUGAAUCAAAUAGGUUUUCCUCCUAAUCCGACGCAGCUCGACUAUCAAAUUCGCGCGAUUGCAACCUGAAUAGUAGAAAUAAAAAACUAUAACACAUCGCCAGAGGAUAUGAGAGGUUUUACGUUUUACCUGAGCAAGAUUUGGUGGCGUAGAUUUUGAGGAGAAGGAUUAGGAUGCUGAUCAGGUGAGUCAUGUCGCCGAAGAAUCUGAAGAUAUUCAUGGUGGCCGGAGGGGGGAGGGGAAUGCGGUGUUGAGGAGCAAAAUUGGUGCCCUAGAAAUUUGAUUAGCGGCGGGGGGGGGG
rnacentral:lncRNA from 1 species